rnacentral:rRNA from 1 species
CGCUGGCGGCAUGCUUACACAUGCAAGUCGAACGGUAACAGGCCCUUCGGGGUGCUGACGAGUGGCGGACGGGUGAGUAACACGUUGGUGACCUGCCUUGAAGAAGGGGACAACCGGUGGAAACACUGGCUAAUACCCUAUGGUCUUGACAUUAUUAGAGGAUGUCAAGUAAAGACUUCGGUCGUUUCAAGAGGGGCCAGCGGCCUAUCAGCUAGUUGGUGAGGUAAAGGCUUACCAAGGCGACGACGGGUAGGGGGCGUGAGAGCGCGACCCCCCACAAUGGGACUGAGACACGGCCCAUACUCCUACGGGAGGCAGCAGUGAGGAAUAUUGCACAAUGGGGGAAACCCUGAUGCAGCAAUGCCGCGUGAGUGAAGAGGGCCUUCGGGUUGUAAAGCUCUUUUCUGAGAGAAGAGAGAGGACGGUAUCUCAGGAAGAAGUCCCGGCUAACUACGUGCCAGCGGCCGCGGUAAAACGUAGGGGGCAAGCGUUAUCCGGAUUUACUGGGCGUAAAGCGCGCGCAGGCGGUUUAGUAAGUCAGUUGUGAAAGCUCCCGGCUCAACUGGGAGAGUGCGACUGAUACUGCUAGGCUUGAGAUUGGUAGAGGAGAGCAGAAUUCCUGGUGUAGUGGUGGAAUGCGUAGAUAUCAGAGGAAUACCAGUGGCGAAAGCGGCUCUCUGGGCCAAAUCUGACGCUC